GACAGAGGAUGCAAGCGUUAUCCGGAAUGAUUGGGCGUAAAGCGUCUGUAGGUGGCUUUUUAAGUCCGCCGUCAAAUCCCAGGGCUCAACCCUGGACAGGCGGUGGAAACUACCAAGCUGGAGUACGGUAGGGGCAGAGGGAAUUUCCGGUGUAGCGGUGAAAUGCGCAGAUAUCAGGAGGAACACCAAUGGCGAAGGCAGCUCGCUGGGACGGUACUGACGCUGAGACGCGAAAGCGUGGGGAGGCAAACAGG
rnacentral:rRNA from 1 species